UAAUGACCGCUCCCUAAGUCUCGGAAGAAAUAAUCAAUUAUGCACAAUUAUGUAUCAGGUAAAUAAUAAUAUGGUGCCUGAUCACUUCUCUUCGAUCUUAUUGUAUUAACUUAAUAAAUUAUUUUUAUAAUUGCAUGUAAUUAAUCAUAUAUAGCGCGGCCUAUUGGAAGAUCACAUAUUGCUUGUUUGCAAUCGACGACAUAUUGGUUGAUUUUCAAAAUACACGUGGCAACUAUAUAAAAUUCAUACUCCUCAUUCUUUGUCGUAUUGAGCCAAAGACCGUAAUAAAC